UCAACCAGAUGGCAGGCUACAAAAUGGCCCCCAUUCUGCAUGUGCUUAAUUUGUAAAUUGGGAGGUGCCGGAACAAAAAGUGAGCAAGAGAGGGUGGUGACCUGGGAAGCUCUGAGGUACCGGAACGCAUGAGGGAAAGCAGUAGACUAAAGGCACACAUGGGGAACAUUUUAGUAGCCUAAGGAGAGACAUCAAGAGGGCAUCAAUGACCUCCCUGCAGGGAAGAGACAAAUGAUGGAGAAGUUUUUCACUCCUGUUCAUAGUCCUCCUCCAGGUGGGAUCACAUCACAGAAGCACCGCCAUCACCGGGAUCAAGAAAAGGAGAUACACAGCUACAGGAGGUCACGGAACAAUGAUAGACGCAGCAGUGAACGCCACGGUCACCACCAUCACCGUGGUAACCAUUUCCAAGAUGACCAGGAGCAAUCCCAUAGACGUCACCAUCAUCAUCCUCAGCACCUUCAUCACGAUGACGAGAUGUCGGAUCACCACACCACCGUCACCCUCUCCAGAGCAUCUUCCUCCUCCCUCUCAUCUUCCUCCUCUUCCUCUUCCUCCGACUCUUCCACCGAAUGGUCCGGCAUUGACGACAAGUUCUCCCUGAAGCACGCCAGCCGGCCGCAGCAUACCAUGUCCUGCUCCAACAUUGCAGGAGGACGACAGUUCCGGGAGGAUGACAGUGAGCUGCAGGUGUAUGCCACGGUCAAACAGGGGCGAAUGCACGGAGGAGGAAGCCCUGGGACCAACCAUCGGGCCCAGGGGAGGGGAGGACAAGAGCCCAGCUACUCCGAGCUCAACCGGGGCCAUAGCCGCAGUGAAGAGGGGUUGCUGCAGAAUACAGGCACUGACAGAGGGAAAGCACGGACACCCCCACACCUGAAGCACGGAUCCCUCUACAAGACAGCCAGCCUGGGCCGUAGCCUGGCCUUCAGUGAAGAGGUCCUGGCUGGGCCAAAGAGGGCGGUGUCCUCGAUCCAGCUCCCCAGUAAAGGCAUCCUGAAAAACAAGGAGGCGCCGCCGGACAUCCGCAAGGCCAAGUCCAUGGAGGUGCUGUCUUCCCGGGUAGCAGGCAAGACAGCAGGGCCCAAGGGGAAGCAGGAUGUGGAGGCUCUGAAGGAUGCAGCCAGGCAGAGCAUGGUGAAGGGGAAGAUACAGUUCUCUGCCUUCCUGGAUGAGAUCACUAAACAGGUCAUCAGCCCCGCCCGUCUCAAUACUCUGGGGGUACCUGUCGAGACUGUAGGACCGGGUCCAGCCAAAACCCCAGCAUCCCCCAAAUCUCAACUGAAAAGUCAGCCCCAGCUUCCCUUGAAAAAGCAGGGAGAUGGGCAGGGGGAGGAGAGGGAAACGGUUACUAAACCUAGAAAACUGAGGAAUGACUCUGACACACGGUCACGGAAAAUAUCUCUCCCUACAAAGUUUGGGUAUGAAAGCAAGAACCACACUCCUUGUCUAGGCAGCCCCCCAACCCACCACUCCAGCCAACCCUACCCGCCCCACCCACCGGCUGGCUAUGAAGACCAACCAGCCUCCCUGCCUGACUUCCAGGGUCCUGUCGGUAAUAGGCAUGGGCGGUAUGGCUCCCUUCUUACAGACGGCACUGUCAGCUCCAGCCCUGAGCCCAGCCAUCACAAACACCGUAGCUACAAACACCUUGACCAGAGCCACAGGCCCACCCAUAGCCCACCUUCAUCUCCACACACCCAGCAACCCCAGCUACCCCACCGCACCCCAAUCCGCACACACUCCCCUCCUCCAGUGCCAGGGCCCGAGUCGGAGUCUCCCUCCAGCAAGUCUGACUCAUCCCGGAACAGAGACCGAGACACGGCCAGCCCCAGCUCCGAGCAGAGCAACCGCCACAACCGGUCAACCUACCGCUGGCAUCCAAAGCCACACAGGACCUUGACAGGUGACACAGGCGAACUCCAGGCACUGCAGGAGGAGAAUGCUGAGCUGCACCAGAACCUGAUGCAAACAGUGGUCUGCAUCGAGAGCCUGGAGGCGGAGCUAGCCAGGGCCAGGGAGGAGCUUAGCCACAUGAAGGAGAAGUUCAAGAGGCUCCAGGACACACACACAGGUACCCAGCACACCAACAGCCUUCUGGGGGAGAAACUGCACUCAGCGACUGAGAGCCUUAGCUCUGAGAGGAAGUAUAUGGUGCAGCGUAUCGCCCAUCUCAGCACAGAGCUGGAGCAGGCCAACGCCACCAUCGCCUCUCUGGAGAACAUCAAUGUUCCCUGUCUGAUCAAGGAGCUCCUAGAGAAGCACUUUGACUCUGGAGACACUGUCAAGCAGUUCCUGAAGAACGCCUUGAAAACCGGCCAAUCCACAAGCGACAUCCAAUCACCUGCUACAAAACUGGAGCAGAAGCCAUCUGAUUGGUCAGGUGCAGGACUCAGGGAGUUUGAGGCGGGUCCACAAAAGGUCACUGCUUUUAUGCCCUGGAAGCAGGAGGAGGGGUUUGGGGUGAUAGGUCAGACAGGAAAUGAGGAUUCUCGCCCGAUGAGUCCCCCUUUCUCCGUCGCUGACAUCAGUAUGGCUAUCUAUAAGAAACUAGCUGCCAGCCAAGCGGCAAGACAGCCCCGGCCUUCCAACUACCAACCUCACACUGACACCCCUCCCAACCCCUACCCUCUGGUGGAGUUGGGUACAGGGGGUGCAGGAGGUGCAUGGGAGGAGGGUUACCUUGUGCCUGCUGUCAAGGAGGGCAUGGCAGUUGCAGGGAGAGCAGCUGAGAGUAAGCAGGGUGCUGUUGUUGAUGUGUCCUAUCUGACGGCCCAGAGGGUUCUGGAUGACUUCAUGCACCAGCUGACACACCCAGAGGAUGGGAGCGCAGGUGGGGAGAGGGGGCAUAAGGCCAACGGGGGAGGGGGAACAACUGAAGAGAAGGGGGCAGAGUGAAACGAACCUAUGAAUUGCUGUAAUUGUAACCUUAUAUUACAUAGGCUAGGAUUGUUCAAGAUGUGAUGGUUUGUUUGUGAUGGUUUGAGGCCUGUAGUUCUGCAUUUAUUUAACAUUUUAAUGUCACUAUACAUUUGAGUGAUGGCAUUGUAAAUAUUACAUUCUGUUUCUUUCCCAAAUGUCUUGUGGUGCAGUUGUAAAGAAAGUAUUAGACUUAAACAAUUAAUUGAACUAUAUACAGAAUAUAAUUAUUAAUCCAAAUUUGCAAUGUGAUACAGUCCAUCCUUUUCCUUGUGAAGUGAUGCAGAAUUUAAAUGUUUUGUUAAUGCCUAGACAGUGAGUAGAAUUUUCUAUUUUAUAACAAUGACCGCUAUUUUGUAAGCUCCAGUAAGCCAAUGAAGGAACCUUCAUAUCUGAAUAACAUCGAUCCAGCUGGCAUUAACGUAUUACCCACUGUGUUUUGGGCUAUCAUGUCACAUGACCUAGAGUUUAACCUUUAUUUUAAGCCUUUUCCAGAAAUGAGAACUAUGAAAGCAAUUGUCUGAGGAUGGUGUCGGAGGAUGCUGCUGGACCAUCUGACAUAAAAAGAAAAGGGGACAGUUUGAUGAAAAAAUUUAAAUAAAGGUUCAAAUCCAGGUCUUGUGACAUGACUGUGCAAAACACAGGGCCCUACAUUAACGCUAUGCUGUCCAUCCUAAUGAACUGUCUUAGCUAAAACUGUAUAAAGCUGCUGUCCCCCCCAAGACUUUUGAUGUUGUAGAUUAAUAAAAUGACUAAUUCUAAA
rnacentral:lncRNA from 1 species